GGCGUGCCUAAUACAUGCAAGUCGAGCGAAUGGAUUAAGAGCUUGCUCUUAUGAAGUUAGCGGCGGACGGGUGAGUAACACGUGGGUAACCUGCCCAUAAGACUGGGAUAACUCCGGGAAACCGGGGCUAAUACCGGAUAACAUUUUGAACUGCAUGGUUCGAAAUUGAAAGGCGGCUUCGGCUGUCACUUAUGGAUGGACCCGCGUCGCAUUAGCUAGUUGGUGAGGUAACGGCUCACCAAGGCAACGAUGCGUAGCCGACCUGAGAGGGUGAUCGGCCACACUGGGACUGAGACACGGCCCAGACUCCUACGGGAGGCAGCAGUAGGGAAUCUUCCGCAAUGGACGAAAGUCUGACGGAGCAACGCCGUGUGAGUGAUGAAGGCUUUCGGGUCGUAAAACUCUGUUGUUAGGGAAGAACAAGUGCUAGUUGAAUAAGCUGGCACCUUGACGGUACCUAACCAGAAAGCCACGGCUAACUACGUGCCAGCAGCCGCGGUAAUACGUAGGUGGCAAGCGUUAUCCGGAAUUAUUGGGCGUUAAGCGCGCGCAGGUGGUUUCUUAAGUCUGAUGUGAAAGCCCACGGCUCAACCGUGGAGGGUCAUUGGAAACUGGAAAACUUGAGUGCAGAAGAGGAAAGUGGAAUCCCAUGUGUAGCGGUGAAAUGCGCAGAGAUAUGGAGGAACACCAGUGGCGAAGGCGACUUUCUGGUCUGUAACUGACGCUGAUGUGCGAAAGCGUGGGGAUCAAAC
rnacentral:rRNA from 1 species